AUCCGAAAAAUUGGCAAACGAUCUUCCACUAACCUCUUCUAACAUAGUAUGAAUUUCAUCAUCAUUGUCAUGCUCUUCAUUUUCAUCUUCAUUGUAAAUAACUUCAUUGUCAUAUCUCAUUUGUGAUUGUUCUCCAUGGUAUAUCCAUUGCAUGUAACUUCCCAUUAUUCCCUUGAUCAAUAGGUGGUCAUACACUAUUUCUUGUGUUUGAAAAAACACAUUUAAACAAUCUUGACAUGGACAUCGAACUUUAGAAUUUCGAUCAAAGUGAGACCGAACAAGUUGCAUAAAAGAUUGGACACCCUCAACAUAUCUUUUAGAGAACUUAGGUUCAUGAAUCCAGCCUCUAUCCAUGAUCAAC
rnacentral:lncRNA from 1 species